rnacentral:lncRNA from 1 species
AAGCAUAUCCUUGUUUUCUAUGCCAAAUCCAUGCAUCAUUGAUGAAAACAAAAAACUAAAAAAUCAUCAUAAAAAAAUCAUCAAGAUCAAUAAGCCAUAAAUCAUAAAAAUCAUCAUACAUAACUUCAAAAUAUAAACUCAUUAAUCAUGAGCAUAUUCAAUCAAAAUAAUUUUGUUUCAGCUAAUGAGCUUUGUGAAGUUUGUUAGAUCUCCG